AUCUGACUGCAGAGAGGAUGACAGAGAACAGUGGACACACAGUUUAACAUGAUGGACUAUAGGACAGGACUGCUGCUUUUAACUCUCUGCUGGACAGGUGUUGAUGGUCAGACUCUGACAGAAUCUGAACCAGUGGUUAAAAGACCUGGAGAAUCCCACACACUGACCUGUACAGCCUCUGGAUUCACAUUCAGCAGCUACAAUAUGAACUGGAUCAGACAGGCUCCUGGAAAAGGGCUGGAGUGGGUUGCUUAUAUCAGUUAUGACAGUAGCAGCAAAUACUACUCUCAGUCAGUCCAAGGCCGGUUUACCAUCUCCAGAGACAACAGCAGACAGCAGCUGUAUCUGCAGAUGAACAGUCUGAAGACUGAAGAUUCUGCUGUUUAUUAUUGUGCUCGAGAGUCACAGUGACUGGAGUUGGUUGAGCAGCUGUACAAAAUCCUACAGUACUCAUCUUUACUG